UAUCGGAUUGAUACUAAGCCAUGCGAGUCAUUGCAGUAAUGCAAGGCAGACGGCUCAGUAACGCGUAGUCAACCUACCCUAUGGACGGGAAUAACCUCGGGAAACUGAGUAUAAUGCCCGAUAGAACACUAUUCCUGGAAUGGUUUGUGUUCCAAAUGAUUUAUCGCCGUAGGAUGGGACUGCGGCCUAUCAGUUUGUUGGUGAGGUAAUGGCCCACCAAGACUAUUACAGGUACGGGCUCUGAGAGGAGUAGCCCGGAGAUGGGUACUGAGACACGGACCCAGGCCCUAUGGGGCGCAGCAGGCGAGAAAACUUUGCAAUGUGCGAAAGCACGACAAGGUUAAUCCGAGUGGUUUGUGCUAAACGAACCUUUUGACAGUCCUAGAAACACUGUUGAAUAAGGGGUGGGCAAGUUCUGGUGUCAGCCGCCGCGGUAAAACCAGCACCUCAAGUGGUCAGGAUGAUUAUUGGGCCUAAAGCGUCCGUAGCCGGCUCUGUAAGUUCUCGGUUAAAUCUGUACGCUCAACGUACAGGCUGCCGGGAAUACUGCAGAGCUAGGGAGUGGGAGAGGUAGACGGUACUCGGUAGGAAGGGGUAAAAUCCUUUGAUCUAUUGAUGACCACCUGUGGCGAAGGCGGUCUACCAGAACACGUCCGACGGUGAGGGAUGAAAGCUGGGGGAGCAAACCGGAUUAGAUACCCGGGUAGUCCCAGCUGUAAACUAUGCAAACUCAGUGAUGCAUUGGCUUGUGGCCAAUGCAGUGCUGCAGGGAAGCCGUUAAGUUUGCCGCCUGGGAAGUACGUACGCAAGUAUGAAACUUAAAGGAAUUGGCGGGGGAGCACCACAAGGGGUGAAGCCUGCGGUUCAAUUGGAGUC
rnacentral:rRNA from 1 species